AGCAACAUAAACCAUAUUUCCCAUUAGGAUUGUUGCCACUGAAUGUUAAUUUUUUGUUAGCAUAAAAAAAUUGUUCAUGUUCAUCGAAUUCAAGCCUACUUCAUGCCCAAAGUUUGAUGAUCAGGAACUUACAUAUCUAUCACAGUCUUUCCAUUACAAAAUCUCCCAGUUGGUCCUUGAAAGAAAUCAAUCCCAUAAGGAUACUAAUUUGCCUUUGCUAUAGAGCUCAAGUAAUUGUUGUUGCCAUUAUCAACCAAAGAAUCACCAAACACAAACAUAGCUGGGACUUGAGGUGCACUGAGCACCCUAAUUGAACAUUGUACUAGUACAAAAUUAGCAACAAAGAAACAACUAAUCAUGCUCAUUUUCUCCUUCUCGAGAAGCUGAAUAUGAAGCAGAGUACAAGAUAUUAUUGUUCUAGUUUUUCAUAAUAUAUUGACUGUUAGAGAUUUGAUGGUUAGAGAAGUCACUUUCUUAUGAAACGGCUAGCAGCUGAAGAACAUAUGAAAUUCUUGCAUUUUGGUAUACUUUAACCCUGUUUUGCUCCUGUUUUGGUGGUUUUUUUAAAAGAUUCUUGUUCUUUUUUGCAGUUAUCCGUUUCAUUUUAAUGCAGCAGUGCUGAUUGCAUGUUGCAGUUUGGAGAAAUGAGAUGAUGACAAAACUUCGAAACCUAUAUUUUCCUGAUGGUUGAAACUGUUAAAGUCAGAAGGCAGUCCAGUGGAUGUUCGCUGGGCUAGGAUCAAGUUCACAGCUUCUGUUGCCUGAAAUGCGUCCCAGAAAACAUGCUGGUUGCGAUCUCUACAAGGAGUAAUGAAAGUUAUGUGUUUCGUUUUGAUGCAGCAGUAUCGGUUGCAUGUUGGAGUUUGGACAAAUAAGAUGGAGGACAAAAGUUUGAAACCUAUCUUCCCUGAGGUUUGAAGUUAAAAGGUUUUUUUUCUUGCACCAAAACCCCACAGGUUGAAUUGCCUUUUCAUGGAAUAAAUAAAGAUUCACUGCUGUGAUACUUCAACUUUUUUAAUCCGCUUUAAGCAUGCGGCCUUCAGAAGGUUGAAACUUUAUAUUUGUUUCAUGAUUUAUAUUUUUAUGCAAUACAUGCAAGCAUGCAUAAAUAAUCAGAAUCAAAAUAACCUUUGGAUUCAUGGUGUCGUAAUGUUUGUUUAAGAAUUAAUUCACGAGCUCAACAGUUGAUAUACUUUAAAUGAAAGCAUAAAAAUGGAAGUGGAAGAGGAUACAUCUUGAAAUAUUGGAGCAUCCAAUAGUGUCCAAAUGUUAUACACAUUAAAAUCCUAAAAUUUGCGUGCCCAUGUAAGAGUCAUGUAGAAUUUAUCGUGCAGUAAUCAUCAGUGAUUAUGUCUUACGUGCCAUUUUCUUGGCAAAAGAACAUAAUGCUGGUGUUACUACCUUUGAGUAUAUGUCUGUAGAAAUUUCUGUUAGGAGGUUUUAGUUCUGCUGUCUGAAUAAGUUUUUUUUUGACUGGUGGUCUUAGAAUGGAAAAUAUGAUUCAUGUAGCCGACCCGAAACAUUUGGGAUAAAGGCUUGGUGGUGGUUGUUUGUUGGUGGUCUUAGAAUUUUCUCAUAAUUAUCUAGCUAUGCAGAUUCCCCACUAGCCUCGGAAAAAUUUGGUCUGUUUCUACUUUCUAAGCCUUACUAAAGUGGUUAUUGGUAGAUCGUUCAUACUGACCGACUACAUUUUUUUAUGCCUUCAAUAUUUGUCUUUAGAAAUUGAUAGUCCACAGCUUGAUGAGCAAACUCUAGCACUAUGAGAAAAAAGACCAUCCUAUAGCCGCGUCAUCUGCUGAAUAUUGAUCGGAUAACAGUCAGAAGGUCUGGUGAAUGCUCGCUGGGCUAGGAUCAAGUUCACAGCUUCUGUUGGAUGGAAUGCGUCUUAGAAAACAUGCUGGUUGUGGUCGCUACAAGGUUAAUGAAAGUGCUGGUAGCAUCUUGCGGAGAAAUGAGGUGAUGACUAAAGCUUGGAACUUAUUUUUCCAGAGGUUUGAAACUGAUAAAAAGUUCCUUUUACAGCACCAAAACCGCAGAAUCCUGGAUUCAGGCAAAGGUAUUUUCUUUAUUCUCUUUAAAUACGCGAUCCGUUGGAUAUAAACCUGGAUUUCUCUGGAUCAUAUUAAAGGUGCCUUUGACUGCACAAAGCUCUGAAUUUAUGGUGAAGGUUGAGAAUUUUAACUCACACUCAAAACAGGAACUUAUGUAACAUUUAGUCUCGGUACAAGCACAAGCAUGCGCACGAAACAAUACUAAAUUUUUACCAAAAUUUGGAAGUGCUUGCACACGAACAGCGUACACAUUACAAUUGAAAACAUUCAAGGUGGGGAUGAAGAUUGAAUUCCACAGAAAAAUGUUCUUCAUUUAUUUCUCUCUCUCUCAUCGUUUUGCAGAUACACGUCUGUUAUUAUAUUGAGAGUUACCAUGUAGUGAUUAUGAUGUGAUACUUAGAGUGGCAACUGACGCAGAUGCAUCAUGAUGAUGUGACUGUUAAGAGCUAGUUACGUAUUCCUCCUGAAAGCAAUAAUGGUAGAUAUCAACUCAAAUCUAUGGUGAAGUAAUGGGACUAAGUUCUUGAUGUGAUGCAUUUCCACUCAGCGACAGAAAGUAGUAAUAUUUGAUGUAAAUUUGGAUGGAAAGAUAGGCAUGCUUCUUGGAUCAAUGAUUAUGUUGGCCAUUUUUUCGCCUGCGCGAAAUCGCGAUUAAUGUGUUUGCUUCAUUAAUCUCUCUUUUAACAGACCAAUUAUUAGUAAACAUUUCAUCUUUACGCGAAAAUAUCUUGCUAGUAGGUGCUACUCGCAUCCACGCCAUUUUCGAUUAGACAUCAAAGCGUGCGAUUAAUCUUUCAUUGUUAGUCAGAAUUAGACGCUAGCUUCGCCUCUUUUUUUUUUUUUUUUU